ACAAGACGGGAUAAAAACCCGUGCUAGCAUAAGAUUAAGCACAUUAUUAAUAGAGCAUUAGGAGUGUUAAGAGUGAAAAUAAAAUUAUAUGUAAAAUUAAAUUAAAUAAAAUCAAAAUUGUAAAUUGGACAUUAAUCUAUUUUUGGGCUAGAACAAUCAGCUUACCCUAAAUGUUGAUAAGUCUACUUUUGUUAACUUUGGAAGUUAUUCCGAUAGUGUUCCUAAUGACUUGCAAUUAUUCGUUAAUGAUAUUAAAUUAGAAAGAGUAGUAAAUUGCAAAUAUUGAGGUAUUUACUUUGACUGUCAUAUGAAGUGGGACAAGCAUAUUAUUGAAUUAAUGAAGAAAGUCAAAUAUUUUACGAUCUUGUUCUAUAAAUUGAGUAAAGUGCUUAAACCUGUUAUCUUGAAAUCGAUAUAUCAUGGACUUCUUGAAAGUGUCAUAAACUAUGGAAUAAUUGCAUGGGGUGGUGCUUAUGAUAAUACUUGCGAAAUUACAAAAUAAAUUGAUAAGUAAAAUGAGAAUAGAAUAUGAUCUGCUUGCACCUUUAAAAAUUAAACAUUAUUUUACUGUUAAUGCUUUAUCUUACUACUAUGAUGAUUGUAAACUACUUUAUUAUGAGAGGAAAAUAAAUACACGAACUAGAUAGAUAUCACUACCGAAAAUGAAUAAAACACUAAUCCGUAUAAUGUGACUGUAAAAUAUUUUAAUCUACUUCCUAAUAAUCUUAAAAUUCUUAAUUGUACUAAGAGAACGUUGAAUAAGGUUAUUGGGAAGUGGAUUAGAACUAUUGUAAUUUAAAUUAUGUUAUGUAUUAUUCUGACUAAUUUUUAGUAUAACUAGACUAAGAAUGAUUUCUUAUUAUAUGUUGUACAAGUAUGUUAUGCACUAAUACAAUAUAUUUAUAAUGUUAUGGUGUAUGAUAUUGCUUAUCUCUAUCUAUGCACUGGUAGAGCAGGUUCCGAGAUAUGGGUUUUUAACUAAAUAUGAGCAGAGCCACGCACAUUGUCCAAUUUUAAUACCGGCUUCUAUAAUGCUUUAGGUAAUUUAUGUAUAUUUUUAAAAAUUCAUUUAACACACUUUGCACAUAACACAUAUUCAAGUCACUUAGUUGUUGUUGUUGUAGCGGCAAAAUUCUGUAGAAUUCAGAUAACUUAGCUCUAAAUACCAGUUCAGGGUGUUAAACAUUUGAACAAAAAUACACUGAAGAAAUGUAACAGUCACAAAUUCUUUUGCGCCGCGAUCUGAUGGUAUGGACGAAUAUCGGAGAUCGUAGCCUUCGCCCGCGCUUCAAAAAAAUAACCCUGGUCAGUCCAAAACCGGGGUGUUCAUAAUCCAAUCACGUCAAACUCCUUUCUGCACUGGGGGCCUUCGGGCGCGAUUCAAAAAAAUAACCCUGGUCGGUCCAAAACCAGGAUGUUCAUAAUUCAAUCACGUCAAACUCCUUUUCGCGGCUCUCAACUUCGAUAAUAAUUUUUAUCACGAUGCAGAAAACAUUUAUGAAGAAGAGGAGUAAAUACACCAAAAACUUGAACAAUAUGUAAUUUUUCCAAAGAAAAAAAUAAAACAAUUAAGUUAAAUGUAUCACAACUUUUUAUAUUUAAUGCAUAUUUAUAAAAAAAAAUAAAAAAAAAACGUUUUAAACUUCAUUUUUGAGGCUUCCUUAGUUGGGAGACCUAAACUAUACAGUUA